rnacentral:rRNA from 1 species
GGGUUGUGAGGUUAAGCGACUAAGCGUACACGGUGGAUGCCCUGGCAGUCAGAGGCGAUGAAGGACGUGCUAAUCUGCGAAAAGCGUCGGUAAGGUGAUAUGAACCGUUAUAGCCGGCGAUGUCCGAAUGGGGAAACCCAGUGCAAUUCGUUGCACUAUCGUUUGAUGAAUACAUAGUCAAACGAGGCGAACCGGGGGAACUGAAACAUCUAAGUACCCCGAGGAAAAGAAAUCAACCGAGAUUCCCCCAGUAGCGGCGAGCGAACGGGGAGCAGCCCGGAGUCUGAAUCAGCUUGUGUGUUAGUGGAAGCGUCUGGAAAGUCGCAGGGUACAGGGUGAUACUCCCGUACACUAAAACACACAGGCUGUGAACUCGAAGAGUAGGGCGGGACACGUGGUAUCCUGUCUGAAUAUGGGGGGACCAUCCUCCAAGGCUAAAUACUCCUGACUGACCGAUAGUGAACCAGUACCGUGAGGGAAAGGCGAAAAGAACCCCGGCGAGGGGAGUGAAAAAGAACCUGAAACCGUGUACGUACAAGCAGUAGGAGCCUCUUUAUGGGGUGACUGCGUACCUUUUGUAUAAUGGGUCAGCGACUUAUAUUCUGUAGCAAGGUUAACCGUAUAGGGGAGCCGCAGGGAAACCGAGUCUUAACUGGGCGUUAAGUUGCAGGGUAUAGACCCGAAACCCGGUGAUCUAGCCAUGGGCAGGUUGAAGGUUGGGUAACACUAACUGGAGGACCGAACCGACUAAUGUUGAAAAAUUAGCGGAUGACUUGUGGCUGGGGGUGAAAGGCCAAUCAAACCGGGAGAUAGCUGGUUCUCCCCGAAAGCUAUUUAGGUAGCGCCUCGUGAACUCAUCUUCGGGGGUAGAGCACUGUUUCGGCUAGGGGGUCAUCCCGACUUACCAACCCGAUGCAAACUACGAAUACCGAAGAAUGUUAUCACGGGAGACACACGGCGGGUGCUAACGUCCGUCGUGAAGAGGGAAACAACCCAGACCGCCAGCUAAGGUCCCAAAGUCAUGGUUAAGUGGGAAACGAUGUGGGAAGGCCCAGACAGCCAGGAUGUUGGCUUAGAAGCAGCCAUCAUUUAAAGAAAGCGUAAUAGCUCACUGGUCGAGUCGGCCUGCGCGGAAGAUGUAACGGGGCUAAACCAUGCACCGAAGCUGCGGCAGCGACACUAUGUGUUGUUGGGUAGGGGAGCGUUCUGUAAGCCGUUGAAGGUGGCCUGUGAGGGUUGCUGGAGGUAUCAGAAGUGCGAAUGCUGACAUAAGUAACGAUAAUGCGGGUGAAAAACCCGCACGCCGGAAGACCAAGGGUUCCUGUCCAACGUUAAUCGGGGCAGGGUGAGUCGACCCCUAAGGCGAGGCCGAAAGGCGUAGUCGAUGGGAAACAGGUUAAUAUUCCUGUACUCGGUGUUACUGCGAAGGGGGGACGGAGAAGGCUAUGUUGGCCGGGCGACGGUUGUCCCGGUUUAAGCAUGUAGGCGGAUGUUCCAGGUAAAUCCGGAACGUUAUUAACGCUGAGGUGUGAUGACGAGGCACUACGGUGCUGAAGUGACAAAUGCCCUGCUUCCAGGAAAAGCCUCUAAGCAUCAGGUAACAUCAAAUCGUACCCCAAACCGACACAGGUGGUCAGGUAGAGAAUACCAAGGCGCUUGAGAGAACUCGGGUGAAGGAACUAGGCAAAAUGGUGCCGUAACUUCGGGAGAAGGCACGCUGAUAUGUAGGUGAAGUGGUUUACCCAUGGAGCUGAAAUCAGUCGAAGAUACCAGCUGGCUGCAACUGUUUAUUAAAAACACAGCACUGUGCAAACACGAAAGUGGACGUAUACGGUGUGACGCCUGCCCGGUGCCGGAAGGUUAAUUGAUGGGGUUAUCCGUAAGGAGAAGCUCUUGAUCGAAGCCCCGGUAAACGGCGGCCGUAACUAUAACGGUCCUAAGGUAGCGAAAUUCCUUGUCGGGUAAGUUCCGACCUGCACGAAUGGCGUAAUGAUGGCCAGGCUGUCUCCACCCGAGACUCAGUGAAAUUGAACUCGCUGUGAAGAUGCAGUGUACCCGCGGCAAGACGGAAAGACCCCGUGAACCUUUACUAUAGCUUGACACUGAACACUGGUCCUUGAUGUGUAGGAUAGGUGGGAGGCUUUGAAGCGUGGACGCCAGUCUGCGUGGAGCCAUCCUUGAAAUACCACCCUUUAAUGGCUGGUGUUCUAACGUGGGCCCCUAAUCGGGGUUGCGGACAGUGUCUGGUGGGUAGUUUGACUGGGGCGGUCUCCUCCUAAAGAGUAACGGAGGAGCACGAAGGUCAGCUAAUCCUGGUCGGACAUCAGGAGGUUAGUGCAAUGGCAUAAGCUGGCUUGACUGCGAGCGUGACGGCGCGAGCAGGUGCGAAAGCAGGUCAUAGUGAUCCGGUGGUUCUGAAUGGAAGGGCCAUCGCUCAACGGAUAAAAGGUACUCCGGGGAUAACAGGCUGAUACCGCCCAAGAGUUCAUAUCGACGGCGGUGUUUGGCACCUCGAUGUCGGCUCAUCACAUCCUGGGGCUGAAGUAGGUCCCAAGGGUAUGGCUGUUCGCCAUUUAAAGUGGUACGCGAGCUGGGUUUAGAACGUCGUGAGACAGUUCGGUCCCUAUCUGCCGUGGGCGCUGGAGAAUUGAGGGGGGCUGCUCCUAGUACGAGAGGACCGGAGUGGACGCAUCACUGGUGUUCGGGUUGUCAUGCCAAUGGCAUUGCCCGGUAGCUAAAUGCGGAAGAGAUAAGUGCUGAAAGCAUCUAAGCACGAAACUUGCCCCGAGAUGAGUUCUCCCUGACUCCUUGAGAGUCCUGAAGGAACGUUGAAGACGACGACGUUGAUAGGCCGGGUGUGUAAGCGCAGCGAUGCGUUGAGCUAACCGGUACUAAUGAACCGUGAGGCUUAACCUUACAACGCCGAAG